rnacentral:rRNA from 1 species
AUUGAACGCUGGCGGCAUGCCUUACACAUGCAAGUCGAACGGUAACGGGCCUUCGGGUGCCGACGAGUGGCGAACGGGUGAGUAAUGUAUCGGAACGUACCUUUCAGUGGGGGAUAACGUAGCGAAAGUUACGCUAAUACCGCAUAUUCUGUGAGCAGGAAAGCAGGGGAUCGCAAGACCUCGCGCGAAUGGAGCGGCCGAUGUCAGAUUAGGUAGUUGGUGGGGUAAAGGCUCACCAAGCCAACGAUCUGUAGCUGGUCUGAGAGGACGACCAGCCACACUGGGACUGAGACACGGCCCAGACUCCUACGGGAGGCAGCAGUGGGGAAUUUUGGACAAUGGGCGCAAGCCUGAUCCAGCCAUUCCGCGUGCAGGAUGAAGGCCUUCGGGUUGUAAACUGCUUUUGUACGGAACGAAACGGCUCUCUCUAAUACAGGGGGCUAAUGACGGUACCGUAAGAAUAAGCACCGGCUAACUACGUGCCAGCCGCCGCGGUAAUAC